GGGUGUCGGCUGCAUUCCGCGGUACGGCAGGUUCAUGCGUCGGUCGGGCCGCCACG
rnacentral:ncRNA from 2 species